UACGGGGGGAGCAAGCGUUGUUCGGAUUUACUGGGCGUAAAGGGCGCGUAGGCGGUCGUGACAAGUCACUUGUGAAAUCUCCGGGCUUAACUCGGAACGGUCAAGUGAUACUGUCGGACUAGAGUACAGAAGGGGCAACUGGAAUUCUCGGUGUAGCGGUGAAAUGCGUAGAGAUUGGAAAGAACACCGAUGGCGAAGGCACUUUACUGGGCUAUUACUAACACUCAGAGACGAAAGCUAGGGUAGCAAAUGGG
rnacentral:rRNA from 1 species